rnacentral:rRNA from 1 species
AAUCAACGCUGGCGGCGUGCCUAACACAUGCAAGUCGAACGCGAAAGUCCCGCAAGGGAUGAGUAGAGUGGCAAACGGGUGAGUAACGCGUGGGCGACCUACCUUCGAGUGGGGAGUAACCUUCCGAAGGAGGGCGUAAUACCGCAUGACAUCCCGUGUUUGGAGACACGGACAUCAAAGCCGGGGAUCGCAAGACCUGGCGCUUGGAGAGGGGCCCGCGUCCGA